rnacentral:rRNA from 1 species
UCACGCGUUGGGAGCUCUCCCAUAUGGUCGACCUGCAGGCGGCCGCGAAUUCACUAGUGAUUAGAGUUUGAUCAUGGCUCAGAAUGAACGCUGGCGGCAGGCCUAACACAUGCAAGUCGAACGGAGUUAUAUUGUAGCUUGCUAUGGUAUAACUUAGUGGCAGACGGGUGAGUAAUGUAUAGGAAUCUACCUAGUAGUACGGAAUAAUUGUUGGAAACGGCAACUAAUACCGUAUACCACCCUACGGGGGAAAAAUUUAUUGCUAUUAGAUGAGCCUAUAUUAGAUUAGCUAGUUGGUGGAGUAAUAGCCUACCAAGGCAAUGAUCUAUAGCUGAUCUGAGAGGAUGAUCAGCCACACUGGAACUGAGAUACGGUCCAGACUCCCACGGGAGGCAGCAGUGGGGAAUAUUGGACAAUGGGCGAAAGCCUGAUCCAGCCAUGCCGCAUGAGUGAAGAAGGCCUUUGGGUUGUAAAGCUCUUUUAGUGAGGAAGAUAAUGACGGUACUCACAGAAGAAGUCCUGGCUAACUCCGUGCCAGCAGCCGCGGUAAUACGGAGAGGGCUAGUGUUAUUCGGAAUUAUUGGGCGUAAAGGGCGCGUAGGCUGGUUAGUAAGUUAAAAGUGGAAUCCCGAGGCUUAACCUUGGAACUGCUUUUAAAACUGCUAACCUAGAGAUUGAAAGAGGAUAGAGGAAUUCCUAGUGUAGAGGUGAAAUUCGUAAAUAUUAGGAGGAACACCAGUGGCGAAGGCGUCUAUCUGGUUCAAAUCUGACGCUGAGGCGCGAAGGCGUGGGGAGCAAACAGGAUUAGAUACCCUGGUAGUCCACGCUGUAAACGAUGAAUGUUAAAUAUGGGAAGUUUACUUUCUGUAUUACAGCUAACGCGUUAACAUUCCGCCUGGGGACUACGGUCGCAGAUUAAAACUCAAGGAAUUGACGGG